GACGAACGCUGGCGGCGUGCUUAACACAUGCAAGUCGAACGAUGAAGCUGGAGCUUGCUCCGGUGGAUUAGUGGCGAACGGGUGACUAACACGUGAGCAAUCUGCCCUUGACUCUGGGAUAACUGCGGGAAACUGUAGCUAAUACCGGAUAUGAGGCUCGAAGGCAUCUUCGGGUCUGGAAAGAAUUUCGGUCAAGGAUGAGCUCGCGGCCUAUCAGCUUGUUGGUGAGGUAAUGGCUCACCAAGGCGACGACGGGUAGCCGGCCUGAGAGGGUGACCGGACACACUGGGACUGAGACACGGCCCAGACUCCUACGGGAGGCAGCAGUGGGGAAUAUUGCACAAUGGGCGAAAGCCUGAUGCAGCAACGCCGCGUGAGGGAUGAAGGCCUUCGGGUUGUAAACCUCUUUUAGCAGGGAAGAAGCGAAAGUGACGGUACCUGCAGAAAAGGCACCGGCUAACUACGUGCCAGCCGCCGCGGUAA
rnacentral:rRNA from 1 species